CCCUUAGAUGUUCUGGGCCGCACGCGCGCUACACUGAUUCAUGCAACAAGUUUUGUCCUUGGCUGAUAGGCCUGGGUAAUCUUUGAACGUGAAUCGUGAUGGGGAUAGAUGAUUGCAAUUAUUCAUCUUCAACGAGGAAUUCCUAGUAAACGCAAGUCAUCAGCUUGCAUUGAUUACGUCCCUGCCCUUUGUACACACCGCCCGUCGCACCUACCGAUUGAAUGGUCCGGUGAAAAUUUCGGAUAGUGGCGAUGCUGGCGGUUCGCCGCCGGCGCUGCCGCUAGAAGAUCUUUAAACCUUAUCAUUUAGAGGAAGGAGAAGUCGUAACA
rnacentral:rRNA from 1 species